GAUGAAGAACGCAGUGAAAUGCGAUAAGUAAUGCGAAUUGCAGAAUUUCCGUGAAUCAUCGAAUCUUUGAACGCACAUUGCGCCCGCCAGUAUUCUGGCGGGCAUGCCUGUUCGAGCGUCAUUUCAACCAUCAAGCCCCAGGCUUGUGUUGGGGACCUGCGGCUGCCGCAGGCCCUGAAAACCAGUGGCGGGCUCGCUGUCACACCGGGCGUAGUAGAUUUUAUCUCGCUCAGGGCGUGCUGCGGGUUCCGGCCGUUAAAAAGCCUUUUUUACCCAAGGUUGACCUCGGAUCAGGUAGGAAGACCCGCUGAACUUAAGCAUAUCAAUAAGCGGAGGA
rnacentral:misc_RNA from 1 species